rnacentral:rRNA from 1 species
UACAGAGGUCCCGAGCGUUGUUCGGAUUCACUGGGCGUAAAGGGUGCGCAGGUGGGUUUGCAAGUUUGAUGUGAAAGCCCCGGGCUUAACCCGGGAAUGGCAUUGAAUACUGCAGAUCUGGAGGAUUGGAGGGGGGGGACUGGAAUUCUUGGUGUAGCAGUGAAAUGCGUAGAUAUCAAGAGGAACACCAGUGGCGAAGGCGAGUCCCUGGACAAUACCUGACACUGAGGCACGAAAGCCAAGGGAGCAAACAGG